CGGGGCGUAGCGCAGCCUGGUAGCGCACUUGCAUGGGGUGCAAGUGGCCGUGGGUUCGAAUCCCGCCGCCCCGACCA
rnacentral:tRNA from 3 species